rnacentral:rRNA from 1 species
GCUAGGAAUAUUGGACAAUGGGCGCAAGCCUUAUCCAGCGACACCGCGUGAGCGAUGACGGCCUUCGGGUUGUAAAGCUCUGUUGGGAGGGAUGAAGCUCUGGAUUUCUAAUAAAGAUCCAGGGUGACUGUACUUCCUGAGGAAGCCACGGCUAACUCUGUGCCAGCAGCCGCGGUAAGACAGAGGUGGCAAGCGUUGUCCGGAUUUACUGGGCGUAAAGGGCGUGUAGGCGGUCGCGUAAGUCAGAUGUGAAAGGCGUCGGCUCAACCGAAGCAGUGCGUCUGAAACUGCGCGGCUCGAGGGUAGUAGAGGGAAGUGGAAUUCCCAGUGUAGCAGUGAAAUGCGUAGAUAUUGGGAAGAACACCAAUGGCGAAGGCGACUUCCUGGACUACUUCUGACGCUGAGGCGCGAAAGCCAGGGGAGCAAACGGGAUUAGAUACCCUAGUAGUCC